CAACAUUGCUGCUCCUGAAAGUGUAUUUAAGAGAAGCUCCACGUUCAGAGCAGCACUACAACAACCUCCCUGACCAUCUGUGAGACAGUCUGCUGAAGCUAAGACCUGACGGUGUGAUCACUGAAACCAUGCUGAAGGUAGCACUUGUUCUUGGAUGCCUCCUGAGCCUCGUUCUGGCCAAUCCUAUAGACAGAGGGCACAAACGACUUGCCCGUUCAAGCCCUGGUUCUACAUCUGAUGAGGCUACCACUACAACUGCUACUACAACUACUGCUGCUGGUGCUGUUGCUGCUGCAGUCUUGUCUCCAGCACAAAUGCUCCAGCUUAUUAAUAGCCUCUUACAAGGAUAAUAAUCUUUGGAGCGCUUUUCAAAUUCCAAGUCACAAAGUCCUUUACAAGGCAGAAAAUUACACAGACAAGUCAUAAAAUCAUCAGGUUGAAACAAACAAACAAACAAAAAAACCCACUUCAGCAGAUGAAAACCAGUGCUGCAAAAAGGUAAAAAAGAUUUUUGAGAGAAAUCAAAGACAGUUCAAAUGAAAUUGAAUCUCAUGUAAUAUCAGGAAAGUAUGUUUUCAGAAGUAAACAGUAACAUCUUAGAAUGUGUCCUUAAACACACCUCCUGUUUCCUACUGCUGCUACAACUACUACAGCAGCAACGACUACAACAGCUGCUCCAUUCUAAUGUCUGAAAUGUAACCAGGAACCAAUAAGUGAAUGAAAACCAGUUUUAAGUGGAUUUUUAAUGUCAGCUUUAUUUCUUGUUGGCUUGAAAUGUUUGACUGAGAAUUUGCUCUAAUUUUCUCCUCUAAAAUUCAAAUCAUGUUUUUCACCUGACCGCACUGCCAAAUAAAGUUCAUAAAUUUAAAA